rnacentral:rRNA from 1 species
AACGAACGCUGGCGGCAUGCCUAACACAUGCAAGUCGAACGAGACCUUCGGGUCUAGUGGCGCACGGGUGCGUAACGCGUGGGAACCUUCCUUUAGGUUCGGAAUAACUCAGAGACAUUUGAGCUAAUACCGGAUGAUGUCUUCGGACCAAAGAUUUAUCGCCUUUAGAUGGGCCCGCGUUGGAUUCGCUAGUUGGUGGGGUAAAGGCCUACCAAGGCGACGAUCCAUAGCUGGUCUGAGAGGAUGAUCAGCCACACUGGGACUGAGACACGGCCCAGACUCCUACGGGAGGCAGCAGUGGGGAAUAUUGGACAAUGGGCGAAAGCCUGAUCCAGCAAUGCCGCGUGAGUGAUGAAGGCCUUAGGGUUGUAAAGCUCUUUUAACCGAGAUGAUAAUGACAGUAUCGGGAGAAUAAGCUCCGGCUAACUCCGUG